rnacentral:rRNA from 1 species
GUUUUCCACGGGAGGCAGCAGUGGGGGAUAUUGCACAAUGGGGGAAACCCUGAUGCAGCGACGCCGCGUGGGCGAAGAAGUAUUUCGGUAUGUAAAGCCCUAUCAGCAGGGAAGAAGAAAUGACGGUACCUGAGUAAGAAGCACCGGCUAAAUACGUGCCAGCAGCCGCGGUAAUACGUAUGGUGCAAGCGUUAUCCGGAUUUACUGGGUGUAAAGGAAGCGCAGGCGGCGCGUUAAGCCUGGUGUGAAAGCCCGCGGCCCAACCGCGGGACUGCAUUGGGAACUGGCGCGC